UCCGUGCUUCGCACCAGCGCGAUUAACAAGUCAGAAAUCCAGUGACACUCCUCGCCCAUUCCUCAAGAAGAAGAAAGAGCAGGACUAGCACCCAAUCCAAGCAGACCUCGAACUCGAAUCUCUACUCUUCAGCAGCAGGCCACAAACGCACGCUCAUCAACCAGCUGGUAGCCGGCGCAGCGGGCCGGAGGAGGAGCAGUUGAGGGCCAUGGCGUCCUGCUGCGAGACGGAGGCGGCUGCGGUGACGACGGAGGCGUACCUGGCGGGGGCGGCAGUGCGGGAGGCGCGGGAGCUGGUGGCGGAGCUGUGCCGGCACUUCUACGCGCCGGGCUGGGUCACCGGCACCGGCGGCAGCAUCACCGUCAAGGUCAACGACCCCGCCGUGCCGCUCGCCGACCGCCUCAUCGUCAUGUCGCCCUCCGGCGUACAGAAGGAGAGGAUGGUGGCAGCGGACAUGUAUGUUUUUUCUGCGGAUGGGAAGGUGCUCUCUGAACCAGCAGCAAAGCCAUGGCCAAACAAGCCUCCUAAGUGUACAGACUGUGCUCCUCUGUUCAUGAAGGCGUAUCAGAUGAGAGGAGCUGGGGCCGUCAUUCACAGCCAUGGAAUUGAGACUUGCAUCGCGUCAAUGCUCGAUCCUGGUGCAAAGGAAUUCAGGAUGACUCAUAUGGAAAUGCUUAAAGCAAUCAAAGGCCAUGGCUAUCGUGAUGAAUUGGUUAUUCCUAUUAUCGAGAAUACUCCUUAUGAGUAUGAGCUCACUGACUCCCUAAGUGAGGCGAUUGCAGCAUACCCAAAGGCAACUGCUGUCCUUGUACGGAACCAUGGAAUAUUUGUCUGGGGUGACUCCUGGAUCAGUGCAAAGACACAAGCUGAAAGCUACCAUUAUCUUUUAGAUGCAGCCAUCAAGCUCUAUCAAUUAGGUAUUGAUUGGACAACUCCCGAACAUGGUCCAGUAAACCGUGCGAAGAGAUCACGCAGCAUUUUGAACCCUGGAAUUCCUAACGAAUGUCAUGCUGCUGAACCAUUAAAGGUUAAUAACUCACUGCUCCCAAUAAUUUUUGGAGCAACGUGUGUUGUACUUGACAUUGAGGGCACAACAACUCCAAUAUCGUUUGUGACUGAUGUUAUGUUUCCUUAUGCCCGUGAUAAUGUGCGAAAGCAUCUGACUUCCACAUUUUAUUCUGAAGAAACCAAAGAGGACAUCAAAUUACUGCGAGUUCAAAUUGAAGAUGAUUUAAGAAAUGGAAUUCCUGGGGCUGUUCCAGUUCCCCCCGAUGAGGCUGGCAAAGAAGAGGUUAUCAACUCAUUGGUGGCCAAUGUUGAAUCAAUGAUUGAAGCAGACUGGAAGGUUACAUCAUUGAAACAACUCCAGGGUCAUAUAUGGAGGACUGGAUUUGAAAGGGAGGAAAUUCAUGGAGUUAUCUUUGAGGAUGUUCCUGAGGCACUAAAGAACUGGAAUUCUCGUAACAUAAAGGUUUACAUAUACUCAAGUGGCAGUAGAGAAGCACAAAGGCUCCUGUUCGGCAAUACAGAGCAUGGUGACCUGAGGCCGUUCCUGUGUGGGUAUUUUGAUACCACAAUUGGAAACAAAAAAGAAACCAGGAGCUAUUUUGAGAUAGCUCAAACACUUAGGGUUGACAGUCCAUCUCAAAUCUUAUUCAUAACUGAUGUCUUCCAAGAAGCCAUUGCCGCAAAAAACGCUGGUUUCGAGGUGGUAAUCUCCAUUCGUCCAGGAAAUGCUCCGGUUCCUGAGAAUCAUGGUUUCCGCACAAUCAAAUCAUUGAGUGAGGUCUGCGAACGAUGAACUGGCGUGGGUUAGCGGGGAAUUAAUAAACGAGAGGAUCAAUCAAGAUGCUGCAAGUUCUUUAUCCAAGAGGGAGGGCUGCCCAACUCUUUUGACUUUUUUAUAUCAACAACAACCACAAUCAAAAGGAAAUGUUCUUUGAAGUACUACUACUACCCCGGUACAUUCGAAGCACUAUAAUAACAAAGUUCUUUGUUAAUUACCCUUCUCUCUCAUCAGAUAUACAGUUAGGAAAAUCAGGAAAAAAAAAGUACCUCCAUGUCCCACCAGUACAUUACAACCUCUCUAACAAGGCUCUUUAUUUUAAGACACAGGUAAAACUAGAAAUAUUUUAUUCUUACUAAUUUGAAAGUGCGCCACUUGUUUGUAUGUUUCCUGAUCCUGAUCCUGACUAUACAUAAUAACUCAUGAAUGAAAAAGAGACGUAAGAAGCCUCAGUUUGCUGGCAUAUCGAUCCUGCCGAAGAAAUUAGCGAGGGCGAUGAGCGCGUUGGCAGAGAGCGCAAGGAACCCGAGGAACGACAGCCACACCACGACGCUGAUCUUGCGGCAGAAUUGGUCCUCGCCGAACCUCGCCGCCCAGAGGUGGUUGCGAGACGCGGCCGCCGACGCCGCCGACAUAAGCAGAUACGCCAGCACCUGCAGGGGAAGCUUAUAUAUCAUGGUUCAGUUUCAGCUCUAAGCUAGAAUGCUUAAAAUAGCUGGUUGCAGCUUUUGCUAUCUCCUACUAUAGCUGAUUGAGAAGGAUUUCAUUUUUGUCCUCGUACGAAUUUAGCAGCUGCUAUAAAUUUGCCAAACCGGCUAUUAGCUAUUUUAGAAUACCAAACGCUAGAUGCCUUAGCCUAUAAUUUAAAAUAGAAACAAAAUUGAUUUUACUCCCCUCAUGGAUAAUCCACUUUAUCUGCUUAACCCCUGAAUCUAAUUCGAUCAGUCAGUGCCACAUAAAGAAAAUGCGUCGAGCUUGCCUGGUCGAGAAAAAGGUGGAUGCAGUAGAUCGACGUGCUCGGCGGUGCAGCCGACCGAUGGAGGCGGCGGAGCUCGACGAUGACUUGCGAGAUCGAACAGAUACAAACGACUACGUUCACCCCGACGGCGUACCUGCCAUAGCACAUUCGUGUGUGAGGGCCGCGAAGUGAAGGAAAUUGAUUCAUUUUAUAUACUUCCUCUGUUUUUAUAUAGAGAAAAGUCCAUUUUUCAA